CUGCACUAGAACAUCUGAUUACUACAACCUUCAAGCGCGCCACUGCACCGAGGAAGAACACACAGACACAGCAAUGGAUUGUGCUUCACAUACCAACAGCCAAAAUGACUGCAAUAAAAAAAAACCUGUUGCCAAAUGUCCUACAAAACCAGGCCAAGACAUAUCAUGCCAAGACACAUCAGGCCAAACCAUAUCAGGCCAAACCAUAUCAGGCCAAACCAUAUCAGGCCAAACCAUAUCAGGCGCUGUGAGCGGCAAUAUUUCCUUUGGCAACCAGACCAAUAAACCCAGUCAUACCGGUUAACAAAAACUCCCAGAAAAACUGUCGCACCCAGCAUCACCAUAGCCAACAUAACAGGUGGCAGAGUGGGUCUCUACUACAAGGCAGAGAAGAUGGCUCUCUGUGACCUCAUC